UACGUAGGUGGCAAGCGUUGUCCGGAUUUAUUGGGCGUAAAGCGAGCGCAGGCGGUUCUUUAAGUCUGAUGUGAAAGCCCCGGGCUCAACCUGGGAACCGCAUUUCGAACUGGCAAACUAGAGUCUUGUAGAGGGGGGUAGAAUUCCUGGUGUAGCAGUGAAAUGCGUAGAGAUCAGGAGGAACACCGAUGGCGAAGGCAGCCCCCUGGGCCUGUACUGACGCUCAUGCACGAAAGCGUGGGGAGCAAACAGG
rnacentral:rRNA from 1 species